rnacentral:misc_RNA from 1 species
GAUGAAGAACGUAGCGAAAUGCGAUAAGUAAUGUGAAUUGCAGAAUUCAGUGAAUCAUCGAAUCUUUGAACGCACAUUGCGCCCGCUAGUAUUCUGGCGGGCAUGCCUGUCCGAGCGUCAUUUCAACCCCCAAGCCCCCGGGCUUGGUGUUGGGGAUCGGCGAGCCUCCGCGCCCGCCGUCCCCUAAAUCUAGUGGCGGUCUCGCUGUAGCUUCCUCUGCGUAGUAGCACACCUCGCACUGGGAAACAGCGCGGCCACGCCGUUAAACCCCCAACUUCUGAACGUUUGACCUCGGAUCAGGUAGGAAUACCCGCUGAACUUAAGCAUAUCAUAAGCGGAGGA